UACGUAGGGUGCAAGCGUUGUCCGGAAUUAUUGGGCGUAAAGAGCUCGUAGGCGGUUUGUCGCGUCUGCUGUGAAAACUCGGGGCUUAACUCCGGGCCUGCAGUGGGUACGGGCAGACUAGAGUGCGGUAGGGGAGACUGGAAUUCAUGGUGUAGCGGUGAAAUGCGCAGAUAUCAGGAGGAACACCGGUGGCGAAGGCGGGUCUCUGGGCCGUAACUGACGCUGAGGAGCGAAAGCGUGGGGAGCGAACAGG
rnacentral:rRNA from 1 species